rnacentral:rRNA from 1 species
GAUGAACGCUAGCGGCGUGCCUAACACAUGCAAGUCGAACGGGGUACCCGAAACGGAGACUUCGGUUGAAGUUUUGGACUACCUAGUGGCGGACGGGUGAGUAACGCGUGAGCAAUCUGCCUCACAGAGGGGGAUAACACAGAGAAAUUUGUGCUAAUACCGCAUAAUGUAGUGAAGAGACAUCUCUUUGCUACCAAAGAUUUAUCGCUGUGAGAUGAGCUCGCGUCUGAUUAGCUAGUUGGUGGGGUAACGGCCUACCAAGGCGACGAUCAGGAGCCGGACUGAGAGGUUGAACGGCGACAUUGGGACUGAGACACGGCCCAGAAUCCUACGGGAGGCAGCAGUUGGGAAUAUUGUGCAAUCGGGGAAACCCUGACGCAGCAACGCCGCGUGAAGGAAGAAGGCCUUCGUGUUGUAAACUUUUGUCUUUAGGGAAGAUAGUGACGGGACCUAAGGAGGAAGCCACGGCUAACUACGUGCCAGCCGCCGCAGGUAAUAC